AGAAUUUCAGCUUCUACAUGUUGCAAGAGAAUUGAUUUUCUAUGCAGAAACUGACAAGCUAGUAAGUGCCUUAGCUGAUAAAAUGAUGAACCUCCUUAUAUUUAAAUUUUAUGGCUAAAGCAUCAUUCUCAUUGUUGUUCUCGAAAACUUAAUGCAGUACCUGCCCUUAGCCUAAUGGAUAUUUUUAGUGUAAACAAUAUGACCAUUGAUCUUCAAAGAGUUAUGUGGAAGCACUUUAGACUCGGAUGAAGUUUUGGGUUUCAAUGUUUUGAGACCUUCAUAUAAUGGCUGCCGUUAUCUGAUGAAAUUAAUGAACAGUUGUAGAUAUUCCUUUUGUAGUGUUGUGUUGAAAGUGUUUCUUUGAACAUUCUAUGCUACAAUUUGGAUGGUUCUAUCUACUUCUGCAAGUGAAAACCCCUGUCCAUCUCAUCUAUCUCUAAAUUGCUGCCAACCUUAUCAUAUUCUUUUCAAAUUUUGAAGUAUUCCUCUAUAAUUACCUCAAAUUGAAGUUUCAUCUCUCUUGCCUGGAGAAGCUGCUGAUUGCAAGGAUU
rnacentral:misc_RNA from 1 species